rnacentral:rRNA from 1 species
GGUAGGGUGACCUGCGGAGGGAUCAUUACCGAGUUUACAACUCCCAAACCCCUGUGAACAUACCACUUGUUGCCUCGGCGGAUCAGCCCGCUCCCGGUAAAACGGGACGGCCCGCCAGAGGACCCCUAAACUCUGUUUCUAUAUGUAACUUCUGAGUAAAACCAUAAAUAAAUCAAAACUUUCAACAACGGAUCUCUUGGUUCUGGCAUCGAUGAAGAACGCAGCAAAAUGCGAUAAGUAAUGUGAAUUGCAGAAUUCAGUGAAUCAUCGAAUCUUUGAACGCACAUUGCGCCCGCCAGUAUUCUGGCGGGCAUGCCUGUUCGAGCGUCAUUUCAACCCUCAAGCACAGCUUGGUGUUGGGACUCGCGUUAAUUCGCGUUCCUCAAAUUGAUUGGCGGUCACGUCGAGCUUCCAUAGCGUAGUAGUAAAACCCUCGUUACUGGUAAUCGUCGCGGCCACGCCGUUAAACCCCAACUUCUGAAUGUUGACCUCGGAUCAGGUAGGAAUACCCGCUGAACUUAAGCAUAUCAAUAAG